GACGAACGCUGGCGGCGUGCUUAACACAUGCAAGUCGAACGAAGUGGCGAACGGGUGAGUAACGCGUAAUCAACCUGCCCUUCAGAGGGGGAUAACAGUUGGAAACGACUGCUAAUACCGCAUACUGUAGGAGGGGAUUGCGUCUGAUUAGCUAGUUGGAGGGGGAACGGCCAACCAAGGCGAAGAUCAGUAGCCGGUCUGAGAGGGUGAACGGCCAACUUGGGACUGAGACCCGGCCCCGAACCCCACGGGAGGCAGCAGGGGGGAAACUUCCGCAAUGGACGGAAGUCUGACGGGGCAACGCCGGGGGAGUGGUGACGGCCUUCGGGUUGGAAAGCUCUGUUAAUCGGGACGCGGUACCGGAAUAGAAAGCCACGGCUAACUACGUGCCAGCCGCCGCGGUAAUAC
rnacentral:rRNA from 1 species